UACGUAGGAUGCAAGCGUUGUCCGGAAUUAUUGGGCGUAAAGAGCGAGCAGGCGGCACAUCAAGUCAGAUGUGAAAUUUUAGGGCUUAACCCUAAAGGGUCAUCUGAAACUGGUGAGCUAGAGUGCAGGAGAGGAAAGCGGAAUUCCCGGUGUAGUGGUGAAAUGCGUAGAUAUCGGGAGGAACACCAGAGGCGAAGGCGGCUUUCUGGCCUGUAACUGACGCUGAGGCGCGAAGGCUGGGGUAGCGAACAGG
rnacentral:rRNA from 1 species